rnacentral:rRNA from 1 species
CCAGAGAACUUUAGCAGAGAUGCUUUGGUGCCUUUCGGGAACUCUGAGACAGGUGCUGCAUGGCUGUCGUCAGCUCGUGUUUGUGAAAUGUUGGGUUAAGUCCCGCAACGAGCGCAACCCUUAUCCUUUGUUGCCAGCGGCUCGGCCGGGAACUCAAAGGAGACUGCCGGUGAUAAACCGGAGGAAGGUGGGGAUGACGUCAAGUCAUCAUGGCCCUUACGGCCAGGGCUACACACGUGCUACAAUGGCGCAUACAAAGAGAAGCGACCUCGCGAGAGCAAGCGGACCUCAUAAAGUGCGUCGUAGUCCGGAUUGGAGUCUGCAACUCGACUCCAUGAAGUCGGAAUCGCUAGUAAUCGUAGAUCAGAAUGCUACGGUGAAUACGUUCCCGGGCCUUGUACACACCGCCCGUCACACCAUGGGAGUGGGUUGCAAAAGAAGUAGGUAGCUUAACCUUCGGGAGGGCGCUUACCACUUUGUGAUUCAUGACUGGGGUGAAGUCGUAACAAGGUAGGCGUAGCGAG